GACUUCAGUUCUUCGUUAUUCACGCGUAGAAAAGGAUAUCUCAAACUUUUAUAUAACGUUCGUGUAAGGAGAGAUUCGCGCAGACACAAUGGAAAACCCGCCAUAUACUAUUUCGUAGCUGCAGCUCGAGAGUCAACGGUGCACUGAGCCGCCAGGCAAAAAGGGAGAAUCGAAAACGCUUGCAGCGACCAAGAACGGAACAACUCAUGGGUGCCGCACAAGGAGGCCGGCGGCCGGUUACGAACAGAGAACAAGGAGAACGGAGGAAAACUUGUUUGCUUGUGUCAGAUCCUGUAGUGAAUCGCUCAAAGCAAUGUUAAAAAUAUAGCAUGUAAAGUUCGACGUAAAAA
rnacentral:lncRNA from 1 species